AAGGCAGCUUGCCAUACUGCGACUGACACUGAAGCACGAAGGCGUGGGUAUCAAACAGGAUUAGAUACCCUGGUAGUCCACGCAGUAAACGAUGAUUACUAGGAGUUUGCGAUAUACCGUCAAGCUUCCACAGCGAAAGCGUUAAGUAAUCCACCUGGGGAGUACGCCGGCAACGGUGAAACUCAAAGGAAUUGACGGGGGCCCGCACAAGCGGAGGAACAUGUGGUUUAAUUCGAUGAUACGCGAGGAACCUUACCCGGGAUUGAAAUGUAGAUGACGGAUGGUGAAAUCCGUCUUCCCUUCGGGGCGUCUAUGUAGGUGCUGCAUGGUUGUCGUCAGCUCGUGCCGUGAGGUGUCGGCUUAAGUGCCAUAACGAGCGCAACCCACAUCGGUAGUUGCUAACAGUUUUCGCUGAGGACUCUACCGAGACUGCCGUCGUAAGGCGUGAGGAAGGUGUGGAUGACGUCAAAUCAGCACGGCCCUUACAUCCGGGGCGACACACGUGUUACAAUGGGAGGGACAAAGGGCAGCUACCGGGCGACUGGAUGCGAAUCUCUAAACCCUUCCCCAGUUCGGAUCGGAGUCUGCAACUCGACUCCGUGAAGCUGGAUUCGCUAGUAAUCGCACAUCAGCCAUGGCGCGGUGAAUACGUUCCCGGGCCUUGUACACACCGCCCGUCAAGCCAUGGGAGUCGGGGGUACCUGAAGGGCGUAACCGCAAGGGGCGCACUAGGGUAAUACCGUUGCUGGGGCUAAGUCGUAACAAGGUAGCCG
rnacentral:rRNA from 1 species